UCACCUUCGUUUGCAGAAAGCUGAGAUUUUCAGCAUUUUCUCCCCACAAUAUCAAAUAUCAAAACACCGAAAGAGUGAUAAAUACUCAGGGUUAGAAUCAACAAUAUAAAGGGCGACUAUCGGCUUCGUGAUGGAUUGGAGGAGACUAGGUUUUCUCUGAGGGGGAAAUGGAAAACGGGAAUGGGAAGGGUCAGGGAAAAGGGAGGGACCUUAUACUCGUUUUAUAAUUUCUACAC
rnacentral:lncRNA from 1 species